rnacentral:lncRNA from 1 species
GGAGGGUUUAGCUUUUUACAGAAGUAGAAGUUUGAUUCUUUAAGAUUCUCGUAACUUGUUAGAUAUGGCAAAAAGAGCUCCAAUGAUCACAAUUACAGCCCCUGAAAUCAAAAGGUUUGACUUGAUACUUUCAACUGCCCUUUCUUCCUUCUUCUUUGCUCUAUUGUCUUGUUCCUUCUACAAAUAAAAAAAAAGUUAGAGGUAAUAAAUAUAUCAAAAUAAAACAAAAUUAUGAGAAAACUAGAUUCAUUUGUCAUAACUUUUCUUCAAUAAGAGAAGCUGGAGUUUAUAGUGGGAGGUCUUAGGUUCAAAUUCAGGCAAAGGAAAAUAUAAAACAAGAGGUCAUUUUUACAUAUGUUCAGAUGGACAGAUAAUCUUGGUAGCAAAACUGAUAAAAUUACUCGAGGUGCAGUUGUUUGAACGCCACGAUUAUCCAAAAAAUAGGAAAUAAUAAAACCCGUAAAAUUAAUCGAGGUACACGCAAGCUGGCUCGAACGCUACAGUCAUUUAUACUACUCGAUCCGGAACACCACAAUUAUCCAAAAAAAGGGAUGGUAGGACUCGUGAAAUUAAUCAAGGUAAAUGCAAGCAAAGAUCGCACACCACGAUUAUAAAAGAAAAAAAUCCCAAAUUAAAGAAAAGGGAAUCCCAAAUUAAAGAAAAAGGGGUACCUUGACUUUCUUUUGUUUUGGAAAAACCUUCACUUGUCUAGACGUAGUAGUAAAAGAAGGAUGUCUUUCAAAAUCUUUG